rnacentral:rRNA from 1 species
UACAGAGGUCCCGAGCGUUGUUCGGAUUCACUGGGCGUAAAGGGUGCGCAGGUGGGUUAGCAAGUUUGAUGUGAAAGCCCCGGGCUUAACCCGGGAAUGGCAUUGAAUACUGCUGAUCUGGAGGAUCGGAGGGGGGACUGGAAUUCUUGGUGUAGCAGUGAAAUGCGUAGAUAUCAAGAGGAACACCAGUGGCGAAGGCGAGUCCCUGGACGAUACCUGACACUGAGGCACGAAAGCCAAGGGAGCAAACAGG